rnacentral:misc_RNA from 1 species
UUGAUAAGCGUGAGGUCGGAGGUUCAAGUCCUCCCAGGCCCACCAAUUUAUGCUCGUUUUUUGCUUAUUCUUGAGCCUUAUGAAGCUUAAGCGUGUCAAAGCCUCUUUAAUCUUUGUUCAUAGUUUAAAGAUUUAAUUUUAACGUCCCUUCAAGGGUGCAGAUAAAUUUAAAGAAUAAAAAUCAAAUUUAAGCAAUACAAAUCAAAAUAAUAUUGAUUAAAAGAGGAUUAAAAGAGGACAAGUCAUUCAAGUUGAUCAAUUUUCUUGAGAUUGAUUUGAGAGAGCAUUCUUUAGGGGCCGUAGCUCAGCUGGGAGAGCACCUGCUUUG